CGGACGGGUGAGUAAUGUCUGGGAAACUGCCUGAUGGAGGGGGAUAACUACUGGAAACGGUAGCUAAUACCGCAUAAUGUCUGCGGACCAAAGCGGGGGACCUCCGGGCCUCGCGCCAUCAGAUGAACCCAUAUGGGAUUAGCUAGUAGGUAAGGUAACGGCUUACCUAGGCGACGAUCCCUAGCUGGUCUGAGAGGAUGACCAGCCACACUGGGACUGAGACACGGUCCAG
rnacentral:rRNA from 1 species